AUAUGAAUAAGUUAACAAAAAAAAAUAUGAAUAUGUGAAUUUAACUUCUUUUUCGGAAUUCUUUUAAAUGGGUUUUUUGAUGGGCUUCAAUGUGAUGGGCUGGAAAAGAUGUUCCAUAUCCAGCAACCAGCCCUUCAAUGAUUAGUCUGAGAGGAGAAGAGGACUGCAUGCCGUUUUCCUCUAGGGUCGUAGCGUCCUUAAGACGCUUGUCUCGAUUUAGUGACCCAAACCAAGCAACAAUCAACAUCUCGUCCCCUUCGCUGCCCCCGUUCGCCGCAGCGUUCCCGCACGAUGGUUCAACUUCACCGGCGAAUUUCCCUGCGAUAAAAAUGUGGCAAUCGGUUGUUCUCUCUGGCGGAUCGAUGAAGAUUCCAGUGACAGAGUAAAUCGAUGUAUCCUCUUACCAUUUACCCAGAUUUUCUGAAUCGUCUGAGCCGGGACAGAGGAGUUUGCGAUGCAACUAUAGUUUCUUCUACUUCAGAUUUGGAGAAGCUACAUAACAAUGGUGGUAGUUCUCACUCGCUCGAUGACAAACAGCGAAAAUGCGAAAUGAAGAUGAUUCCACUUGUGGGACAUUACAUAUGCAAUACACCACCACCAGGUCUACCGCCAUUACUACUUCUACUACUACAAGCAUUUCUUAUUUCCUGAUGAUGAUGAAUGAUC